CUGCAUGUUGCACCCCGGGCUUCUCUGAAGUAUGCGAUGAUGAAAAAAGCCCCAAUGCUCGUGCUAUAUUUAUGCUGUUUAGUGUUGCAGGUUUGCUUAGUUUCUUUAACAGCUUAUUUGUGUCAAAAUAACGGCCAGAUUU